rnacentral:rRNA from 1 species
UACGUAGGGACCAAGCGUGGUCCGGAAUCAUGGGGCGUAAAGCGCGCGUAGGUGGCCAUUUAAGUCCGCUGUGAAAGUCAAAGGCUCAACCUUUGAAAGCCGGUGGAUACUGGAUGGCUAGAGUACGGAAGAGGCGAGUGGAAUUCCUGGUGUAGCGGUGGAAUGCGCAGAUAUCAGGAGGAACACCAAUAGCGAAGGCAGCUCGCUGGGACGUUACUGACACUGAGGCGCGAAAGCGUGGGGAGCGAACAGG